AAGAAUUUAAGUUAAAUAAACUAUUGACCUUCAAAGUCAAAAUUAGAGCAAUAAAUCUAAUUCUUA
rnacentral:tRNA from 1 species